AUGCCGUUCCAUUAAUCAGAUUUGUACAAUUGAAGAUAUGAAAUGAAUCUGCGGCAGAGUUUGAGGUCCCAAAUGAACAAUUCAAGAUGACUCGAAGACACACGGGCGACUAAAGCAAGUUACCGUGUACUUACGAACAAAACGCGUUCCCGUGACAGAGCUGAUUUCAGUUCAACGAGAGCGACAGCCGGGACAGGAACACAUUACCAUACGUCGUUCCUACGACGGUGCUCACAUUUUCACAAUAAAUUACUUCCAAGAAGCAAAAUCAUACGGACAGCAGCGCGAGAAACAAAGCCUUGCAAAACCGAAACUUUAGAGGGGAUCACGUGGUGGACAGGAAGCAAUGGCGAUUUUGACCCGAGCGACCGCUAGAGGGUGGCUACGCUAGUCUGGAGGGAAGAGCCGCUCCUUGUGUUUCCUUCCUCCAUGGACUAUUCUAUGAAAAAAUGCCUUAUCUAGGUGUUGUUGUCUACACCGGUUGCACCCUACGCAUCGAAAUCCGAAUCCAUUCCAAUCGGCUAGCCAACAAUAUCCGUGCUCUAAAGGUGGCUGUCUGUGUUGCAGGUGUUGGCUGUGUUUCUGUCAGAUAUGCGUUCUCACUGUUUUAGAUGGUUACGUGCGAACAGACAAGGUGUUUAACAGAUCAACCAAAUCACAGAACAUUACUGCUUCGUAGAGUUGCCAUGGCGUGGCAGAAUAUCCUCACCGUGUUAUGUGACGACGCUCGCAGUCGGUAUUAGCCAUGAAAUGUGCGAUGUGCCGAUUUUACUUCAUAACGCGCAUGUCAUGCAUGAAUAAAGCAGCUCCAACAAACUGCACCGUUGGCAGCAGCACUCACGCAAAGAACUCUGCCCAAUGCCACGACGAACCACGCAAAAGUGCAUUGCGACCCAAACAUGCACAUGCAGCGGAAAUGGCGGACCCCUUCAUGCUUCUUCUUGUGCCUCCUUCACAUGUUGGCCGUUUUAUUCAAUGUGCAAGCCUCACAUGCAUGACAGGGCGGAUACUCCUGCAGAGACAGUGGUACAGUUCCACUGGUGCUGGAACAGUACACAAUGAGCAUUGUGCAUAAUGGUUUGUUUUUGUUCUUUGAGUUCCUUAUCUGGACAUAGUGCUGUGUCGGGAUGCGCAUGUGUCUUUGAGGAACAUCACUCUGACGUUCCAGUGAUUGUGUAGUUCAUUUUGUGUUAUCUUUUUUCUUCCCCAUGCUCAGGGACGUGUUGCAUGUGUCGAGCAUACACCAACUCGCUUGCAUUUCACUUUCAUCACAUGUUUUGAUUUGCAUCAUCAUCGCUAUCCAAGCUGAGAGGCAUGAGCAUAGAUCAAGACCCGUCAAAAAGAACUCGUUGCGAGUUAAGUUACCAUGUGUAAAUGUAAGUUAAUAACAAAGUUCUUCAGCCUGAAAUGUAACUCGCGGUUACUGAUUUACUUAAAAAAAGAACGAGUUACUUCCGAAUUACUUUGGACACAAAACCGCAGUGCACAGGUGCAGCGCGCAUGAGCAGUUGAGUUAGACCAUGAGCUGCCUGUGGAGGAGUGCAACACGCUUAGAUCGUCUUCAUGUAUGUACAGCAAUUCGAACACUUUGCAUCUUACUCCCUGUGGGUGCACAAUGGUUCAGCUUCAUUUCAAUGGCAGCGUUUCUUACUUCCUGAAUAGAAUACUCUCAUUGAUUGACGUUUCAUUCAUUCAUUCGCGUUUUAUGGCAUAAAAUGCCACGAAAGAACCGGAGAGGAAGCAAGAAAAUAUGUGGACGUGAGUGAAAAGCGAAUUAAAAGUAACUUGGAACUUAGCUUAAGUUACUUUAGCAAAGUCAUCCGGAAAAGAAACAAGCUCCUCAGAAAGUUACCACAGCACAAAAGUACCGAGUUGAGUUACAAGUUACCAAAAAAUAUGAACCUAGUUAGGAAUCGAGUUACCUCGAACUCUGGACAUGAGGGCGUGCUUCUAAAGGUAUGGUCUAGGUCUGUUGUUGGGAGUCAUUGUAAUUUGCUACCCUUGAGGAGCAUUAGGCUGUUCCACAACAAAACGUUCACGUCCGCUCUGCUCAGACUCCUCGGAAGCGGCCACGCUAGUGUGGCCUUGCAGCUUCCCCAUUUUGCGCCUCUAAAUUGAGUGGAAAAUUUUCCUGGACACGAUGGAACUGAAACUUAACGUGGGAGGCAUUCAUUCCACAUCAUAAAUUAGUAUCCAUGCACGCCUGAGGCCCUUCAACGGCGGAUCGCGAAGCUGCGCCAAAACUUGAUUUUCCUAGCGCCAACGGCUACGCCCGAACGCCUCAAGGCGCUUCCUUCACUUCCAAUCCAAAGAAUGUUCAUCAGGGUAAAAUUGUCAGUAAGAGUUUAUAGGUGCAGAAUUAUAUUUUACGCAAAUGCUGGUGGACAUCUUAUUAUGCCCUCCAUAUGCUCCUGAGUUUGGUUUGUCCUGACGAUUCGCCAGCUGGACAUUUUUCUAUGGAAACUGCAGUUAUUGGAUAAAUGAGAGUAGAACUGUACUUGCAGGAACUACCUACCAGUGGAGUAAUUUAGAAGUACAAAUUGACACCUCGUGGGAAACAGAUUAAAAAAAAAAGUACUUUGUACAUUCUG